UUUAAAAAAACAACGUUUGUUUAAUAGUGGAGAAAUUGUCAAAUCGUCUCUAAUUUGGUUUUGUUUACCAUGCCAUGGUCCUAAGUUAGAGUGUAGUUAACCAUUUUGUUUUCUCAGUUAGAAUGGGAAAGAAUUUCUUCAGAGAAAUCUGUUAGAACAAUCUUGUUUACCAUGUAUUCAGCAGAAUCAUCGGAAUUGGGUGUAGCUUAGCAUUUGGAGUCACAGGAUAUCGACAUAUAAAUUAUGUCACUAUUUGGCAAAUAUCACAUUUCAUUGCAGAAAAUUGUUGGAAAGACCCAUCCGGAUUUAAUUUUGCUCAAAUUUUCAUUUCGGUUUCUCAGGUUCGUUGCACGUUCAGAUGGGGAGGGAUAUAAAUUUUGAUCCCAGAAAAAACAAUCGGUCGAUUUAUUCAUACUCCUUCAAAUAUCGAUAUCUGUUAAUAGAAAUUGUAUGAUAGAAUUGUAUAAAUGUCAAAUUGUUUUUUUU